rnacentral:rRNA from 1 species
AUACGGAGGGUGCAAGCGUUACUCGGAAUCACUGGGCGUAAAGCGCGCGCAGGCGGGCUGAUAAGUUGGAUGUGAAAGCUUACGGCUCAACCGUAGAACUGCAUCCAAAACUGUCAGUCUAGAGUCUGGGAGGGGAAGAUGGAAUUAGUUGUGUAGGGGUAAAAUCCGUAGAGAUAACUAGGAAUACCAAAAGCGAAGGCGAUCUUCUGGAACAGUACUGACGCUGAGGCGCGAAAGCGUGGGGAGCAAACAGAAUUAGAUACCCCAGUAGUCC